rnacentral:rRNA from 1 species
GACGAACGCUGGCGGCGCGCUUAACACAUGCAAGUCGAACGGAAAGGCCCUGCUUUUGUGGGGUGCUCGAGUGGCGAACGGGUGAGUAACACGUGAGUAACCUGCCCUUGACUUUGGGAUAACUUCAGGAAACUGGGGCUAAUACCGGGUAGGAGCUCCUGCUGCAUGGUGGGGGUUGGAAAGUUUCGGCGGUUGGGGAUGGACUCGCGGCUUAUCAGCUUGUUGGUGGGGUAGUGGCUUACCAAGGCUUUGACGGGUAGCCGGCCUGAGAGGGUGACCGGCCACAUUGGGACUGAGAUACGGCCCAGACUCCUACGGGAGGCAGCAGUGGGGAAUAUUGCACAAUGGGCGGAAGCCUGAUGCAGCAACGCCGCGUGCGGGAUGACGGCCUUCGGGUUGUAAACCGCUUUCGCCUGUGAUGAAGCGUGAGUGACGGUAAUGGGUAAAGAAGCACCGGCUAACUACGUG